rnacentral:pre_miRNA from 1 species
AGUGGAAUAGCUGGGUCAAAUGAUGGUUCCAUUCCAAGUUUUCUGAGAAUCUCCACACUGCUUUCCGGAAUGGUUGCACCAAUUUGCAGUCCCACCAGCAAU